rnacentral:rRNA from 1 species
UGCCAGCCGCCGCGGUAAUACGUAGGGUGCGAGCGUUAAUCGGAAUUACUGGGCGUAAAGCGUGCGCAGGCGGUUUUGUAAGUCAGAUGUGAAAUCCCCGGGCUCAACCUGGGAACUGCAUUUGAGACUGCAAGGCUAGAGUGUGGCAGAGGGGGGUGGAAUUCCACGUGUAGCAGUGAAAUGCGUAGAGAUGUGGAGGAACACCGAUGGCGAAGGCAGCCCCCUGGGCCAAUACUGACGCUCAUGCACGAAAGCGUGGGGAGCAAACAGGAUUAGAUACCCUGGUAGUCCACGCCCUAAACGAUGUCAACUAGGUGUUGGAAGGGUUAAACCUUUUAGUGCCGCAGCUAACGCGUGAAGUUGACCGCCUGGGGAGUACGGCCGCAAGGCUAAAACUCAAAGGAAUUGACGG